ACUCAAUGGCGGGUCGAAAGACGACGGAAAAACUAUAAAAGGAAAUUAUUAAAUAAUAUUCCUCUCGUUCUGUGUCGUCCGGGUGUGACUGACCCCCCCGCUCACGAUAUUCGCUCAAAUGCGAGGCGUAAAUAAUGUAUAUAUUUUUAACGGCCAGCCACCCAGACAGCCAUUUGGAAAAAGCUGAUAAGAGGGCAGUAUGUGUGUGUAUUGCAGCAGUUAAUAUUAUAAGCCAUUGGACGCGAAAAAGUGAUCAAGAUGGAUGAAUAUGGAAUUCGAAUAAAUCACAUUUCGUAUCGUUCAACAGUCAUCUACUCCAUGGAGACUUUCGAGGCUAAUUCAAAGUCAAUAUCAAUAAACUGCUACUCUUAUGCACAUACUUAUUUAACGACGUGGAUGUAAAGUUUGUUACUCACGGAUCCACGGAAUGGCUGCUAUAAAAAAGACUACUUGGGUGGUUUACUUAUUGAAAUACUAUCUAGGAACACACUGCCAACUGGAAUAACAAAAUCAUGAUGAAAUUUAUAUUACACCGUACAGGCCAGAGAGAGUCACAAGGAACCGUGAAGUUCUAAUUUUCAGCUGUAAACAGAGUAUAGAGUAUAAUUUAUAUUUACAUCAAGAAUUUUACUUCGGCGAGUUUAAAUUUGGGGAGUUACCACACAUAAUGGUGAAUUGUGUUGGAAAGUUCACACUUAUUUAAAUUGUUUUGGUGCCUAUAUGUAUAGGUAUGCAUUUUGAAAGUUAUUAUUCGCCCUAUUCCGCCAUAUAACUUUUGGAAGAAAAAAAAACGCUUUAACUGCCUGAAAAUGCUUGGCCAAAACAAAGGCAAACGCAGAAUAGUACAAAAAUAGCUUUAAAGCAGAAACAACAAACAAAAAAUAAAAAAAUCACCAACACAUGCGAAAAAGGUGGCGAAAAAAGUGCCACGAGUAAAAGACAAUAAUUAAAUUAGUUGGGGCGAAAAUACCAAUAGGCUAAUAUUGAAGGGUAGGAAAACAACACACACACACGCACAGGCAACGGGGCUUAUCAGCUGACAGCGCAAUUAAGUAAAUUCAUCGAUGAUAACCCCCAUACAUGUAACCAGGAGAUAGCGGGAGAAAGGAGGGACACCGAG